rnacentral:lncRNA from 1 species
UCUUGUUUCAUUGUUUGCUGUUUUUGUUUCAGACAUCAAACAAGUAAUUGCUCUUGCCUGUGUAUUUGGAGUUGUGGGUCUCGCUGUUGUGACACGUCUAAUUCUCCUAUAUAGAAAGGAGAGACACAGAGCCAAGCAGAAGCUUGUUUCAAAGGAGCCAGUGACAUCUCAACAAGGAAGAGCAAGGCUUCCAGAUGAGUUUUCAAUGAAACAUGGAGAAAGCAUAGCAGAGGGAUAAGUGGCCCACAGCAACAACGACAGAAACAAGUCUCACACAGUAUGCUAUCAUUUAAUUUUUGCUUCCAAUGUAAUGACUGUUCAAUCACAUGGGAAAUGCUAACAAACUUCAUGGGGUUGUAUAACGGCUGACUCAUCCUCCUGUGGAUCAUAAGGAAGGGAUAUUGCUUCUGAAAGCAUCAGUCUCUAAGUUACCUGUAUUGGUUUCUUCUAUCAGUCCCAUUUCAGACAGCAGAACCAAAGUUUUGGUGGAAUCAGAAGAGUUUGUGGUUUCUCCACACUUCUCUUCCUCUCAUCUUUUACUUACGAGUUGGUAAAAUGAAAACAGUCCUAGCCUACAGCAUUAACCAUUACCAGAGAAACACACACCUUCCCUGGGCCAUUUGCAGCUGAUUUAGAUAUGAGGGCUGCUCUGAAAGUAAUGCCUCCUGUUUCAUGACAUUGGCAGUACAAGACAAAUCUUCAUAAUGAGAUAGAAAGCACAGCAAUGACAGCAGAACAACAACAUCCCAGGCUACAGUAAGUGAGGAGCCACUCAGAUGCAAAAGCUCUGGGCACAAAAACAAAGGAAAAAAGCUGCUUACCUUUAAAAGGCCUCAGGUGUGCAGAGGUCACCAGCAAGAGCCCCAUAUCUCCACUGCCAACCCUUAAAUGAGGUCUGGAAUGGGGUUGAUCUUGGCUCCACCCCUUUCAAUCACUCAGGUACA